rnacentral:rRNA from 1 species
AAAUUGAAGAGUUUGAUCAUGGCUCAGAUUGAACGCUGGCGGCAGGCCUAACACAUGCAAGUCGAGCGGUAGCACAGAGAGCUUGCUCUCGGGUGACGAGCGGCGGACGGGUGAGUAAUGUCUGGGAAACUGCCUGAUGGAGGGGGAUAACUACUGGAAACGGUAGCUAAUACCGCAUAACGUCGCAAGACCAAAGUGGGGGACCUUCGGGCCUCAUGCCAUCAGAUGUGCCCAGAUGGGAUUAGCUAGUAGGUGGGGUAACGGCUCACCUAGGCGACGAUCCCUAGCUGGUCUGAGAGGAUGACCAGCCACACUGGAACUGAGACACGGUCCAGACUCCUACGGGAGGCAGCAGUGGGGAAUAUUGCACAAUGGGCGCAAGCCUGAUGCAGCCAUGCCGCGUGUGUGAAGAAGGCCUUCGGGUUGUAAAGCACUUUCAGCGGGGAGGAAGGCGGUGAGGUUAAUAACCUCACCGAUUGACGUUACCCGCAGAAGAAGCACCGGCUAACUCCGUGCCAGCAGCCGCGGUAAUACGGAGGGUGCAAGCGUUAAUCGGAAUUACUGGGCGUAAAGCGCACGCAGGCGGUCUGUCAAGUCGGAUGUGAAAUCCCCGGGCUCAACCUGGGAACUGCAUUCGAAACUGGCAGGCUAGAGUCUUGUAGAGGGGGAAUUCCGGUGUAGCGGUGAAAUGCGUAGAGAUCUGGAGGAAUACCGGUGGCGAAGGCGGCCCCCUGGACAAAGACUGACGCUCAGGUGCGAAAGCGUGGGGAGCAAACAGGAUUAGAUACCCUGGUAGUCCACGCUGUAAACGAUGUCGAUUUGGAGGUUGUGCCCUUGAGGCGUGGCUUCCGGAGCUAACGCGUUAAAUCGACCGCCUGGGGAGUACGGCCGCAAGGUUAAAACUCAAAUGAAUUGACGGGGGCCCGCACAAGCGGUGGAGCAUGUGGUUUAAUUCGAUGCAACGCGAAGAACCUUACCUGGUCUUGACAUCCACAGAACUUAGCAGAGAUGCUUUGGUGCCUUCGGGAACUGUGAGACAGGUGCUGCAUGGCUGUCGUCAGCUCGUGUUGUGAAAUGUUGGGUUAAGUCCCGCAACGAGCGCAACCCUUAUCCUUUGUUGCCAGCGGUUAGGCCGGGAACUCAAAGGAGACUGCCAGUGAUAAACUGGAGGAAGGUGGGGAUGACGUCAAGUCAUCAUGGCCCUUACGACCAGGGCUACACACGUGCUACAAUGGCAUAUACAAAGAGAAGCGACCUCGCGAGAGCAAGCGGACCUCAUAAAGUAUGUCGUAGUCCGGAUUGGAGUCUGCAACUCGACUCCAUGAAGUCGGAAUCGCUAGUAAUCGUAGAUCAGAAUGCUACGGUGAAUACGUUCCCGGGCCUUGUACACACCGCCCGUCACACCAUGGGAGUGGGUUGCAAAAGAAGUAGGUAGCUUAACCUUCGGGAGGGCGCUUACCACUUUGUGAUUCAUGACUGGGGUGAAGUCGUAACAAGGUAACCGUAGGGGAACCUGCGGUUGGAUCACCUCCUUACCUUAAAGAA